rnacentral:rRNA from 1 species
AGUGAACGCUGGCGGUAGGCCUAACACAUGCAAGUCGAACGGCAGCACAGUAAGAGCUUGCUCUUACGGGUGGCGAGUGGCGGACGGGUGAGGAAUACAUCGGAAUCUACUUUUUCGUGGGGGAUAACGUAGGGAAACUUACGCUAAUACCGCAUACGACCUACGGGUGAAAGCAGGGGUUCUUCGGACCUUGCGCGAUUGAAUGAGCCGAUGUCGGAUUGGCUAGUUGGGGGGGUAAAGGCCCACCAAGGCGACGAUCCGUAGCUGGUCUGAGAGGGUGAUCAGCCACACUGGAACUGAGACACGGUCCAGACUCCUACGGGAGGCAGCAGUGGGGAAUAUUGGACAAUGGGCGCAAGCCUGAUCCAGCCAUACCGCGUGGGUGAAGAAGGCCUUCGGGUUGUAAAGCCCUUUUGUUGGGAAAGAAAAGCAGCAGGUUAAUACCCCGCUGUUCUGACGGUACCCAAAGAAUAAGCACCGGCUAACUUCGUG